GAUGAACGCUGGCGGCGUGCCUAAUACAUGCAAGUCGAGCGAACAGACGAGGAGCUUGCUCCUCUGACGUUAGCGGCGGACGGGUGAGUAACACGUGGAUAACCUACCUAUAAGACUGGGAUAACUUCGGGAAACCGGCGCUAAUACCGGAUAAUAUAUUGAACCGCAUGGUUCAAUAGUGAAAGACGGUUUUGCUGUCACUUAUAGAUGGAUCCGCGCCGCAUUAGCUAGUUGGUAAGGUAACGGCUUACCAAGGCAACGAUGCGUAGCCGACCGGAGAGGGUGAUAGGCCACACGGGAACUGAGACACGGUCCAGACGCCUACGGGAGGCAGCAGUAGGGAAUCUUCCGCAAUGGGCGAAAGCCUGACGGAGCAACGCCGCGUGAGUGAUGAAGGUCUUCGGAUCGUAAAACUCUGUUAUGAGGGAAGAACAAAUGUGUAAGUAACUAUGCACGGCUUGACGGUACCUAAUCAGAAAGCCACGGCUAACUACGUG
rnacentral:rRNA from 1 species